UACGGGGGGGGCGAGCGUUGUUCGGAAUUACUGGGCGUAAAGGGUUUGUAGGUGGUCUGCUAAGUCAGACGUGAAAUCCCUCAGCUUAACUGGGGAACUGCGUCUGAUACUGGCGGACUUGAGGACAGGAGAGGAACGCGGAAUUCCAGGUGUAGCGGUGAAAUGCGUAGAUAUCUGGAGGAACACCGGUGGCGAAGGCGGCAUCCUGGACCAACACUGACACUGAGGAGCGAAAGCCAGGGAGCAAACGGG
rnacentral:rRNA from 1 species